GAAAUGCGAUAAGUAAUGUGAAUUGCAGAAUUCAGUGAAUCAUCGAAUCUUUGAACGCACAUUGCGCCCCUUGGUAUUCCAUGGGGCAUGCCUGUUCGAGCGUCAUUUGUACCCUCAAGCUCUGCUUGGUGUUGGGUGUUUGUCCCCGUCUCCGCGCGUGGACUCGCCCCAAAGUGAUUGGCAGCCGGCGUACUGGUCCCGGAGCACAGCACAUGUCGCGCAAACGAGUGCCUUGGUACGGCGGCGUCCAUAAGCCCCUCUCUCACGCUCUUGACCUCGGAUCAGGUAGGGAUACCCGCUGAACUUAAGC
rnacentral:misc_RNA from 1 species